rnacentral:rRNA from 1 species
UCCGUAGGAUGCAAGCGUUGUCCGGUUUUAUUGGGUUAAAAGGGCGCGUAGGCGGCCUAUUAAGUUAGUGGUGAAAACGUUCGGCUUAACCGGAUACCCGCCAUUGAUACUGAUAGACUUGAGUGCGACAGAGGGUGUUGGAAUGUGUGGUGUAGCGGUGAAAUGCUUAGAUAUCACGCAGAACACCAAUUGCGAAGGCAGAUGCCUAUGUCGUAACUGACGCUGAGGCACGAAAGCGUGGGGAGCAAACAGG